rnacentral:tRNA from 1 species
AUGGGGUUAUGGCUCAGAGGUAGAGAGCUUGUCUACCAUGCAUGAGGCACUGGGUUCAAUCCUCAGCACCACAUA